GACCGCGUAGCUCAGUUGGUAGAGCAUUGGGCGCUAGUAUUCCAAAGGUCGUAGGUUCGAAUCCCACCGUGGUCA